rnacentral:misc_RNA from 1 species
GAAAUGCGAUAAGUAAUGUGAAUUGCAGAAUUCAGUGAACCAUCGAAUCUUUGAACGCACAUUGCGCCCCCUGGUACUCCGGGGGGCACGCCUGUCCGAGCGUCAUCUCGAAACCCAUCGGGCCCCAGAUGCCCGGCCUUGGGGGCCCCACGCGCCCGAGGUGAUUGGAUCCCCGGGCGCCCCCCCCCGAAACGCAAAGGCGACCCGAGGUCCCCCCGCGGAGAGCGAACGAGGCGUCCCGCCGUCGCCCUUCGGGAGGACCGAAGCGCCCACUGAACUCCGGGACUCCCGUCCCGGAGACUGCGAACCUUGACCUCGGAUCAGGCGGGGUUACCCGCUGAACUUAAGC